UAUAAAGUUAAAUGUCAAGGCUAGCCCUGAUGUUAUGAGGAGGGCUGAUAGGGCUCCUGUUAGAGGUCAAGGACUGGGGUUGACUAUAUGAUA